GACGAGGUGGCCGAGAGGUUAAGGCGAUGAACUGCUAAUCUAUUGGGCUCUGCCCGCGUGGGUUCGAAUCCCAUCCUCGUCG
rnacentral:tRNA from 1 species